UACGUAGGGUGCGAGCGUUGUCCGGAAUUAUUGGGCGUAAAGGGCUCGUAGGCGGUUUGUCACGUCGAAAGUGAAAACUCAGGGCUUAACCCUGAGCCUGCUUCCGAUACGGGCAGACUAGAGGUAUGCAGGGGAGAAUGGAAUUCCUGGUGUAGCGGUGAAAUGCGCAGAUAUCAGGAGGAACACCGGUGGCGAAGGCGGUUCUCUGGGCAUUACCUGACGCUGAGGAGCGAAAGUGUGGGGAGCGAACAGG
rnacentral:rRNA from 1 species